AUUAGAUAAGCCUAUAUUAGAUUAGCUAGUUGGUAAGGUAAUGGCUUACCAAGGCAGUGAUCUAUAGCUGAUCUGAGAGGAUGAUCAGCCACACUGGAACUGAGAUACGGUCCAGACUCCUACGGGAGGCAGCGGUGGGGAAUAUUGGACAAUGGGCGAAAGCCUGAUCCAGCCAUGCCGCAUGAGUGAAGAAGGCCUUCGGGUUGUAAAGCUCUUUUAGUGAGGAAGAUAAUGACGGUACUCACAGAAGAAGUCCUGGCUAACUCCGUGCCAGCAGCCGCGGUAAUACGGAGAGGGCUAGCGUUAUUCGGAAUUAUUGGGCGUAAAGAGCGCGUAGACUGAUUAGUAAGUUAAAAGUGAAAUCCCAAAGCUCAACUUCGGAAUUGCUUUUAAAACUGCUAAUCUAGAGAUUGAAAGAGGAUAGAGGAAUUCCUAGUGUAGAGGUGAAAUUCGUAAAUACUAGGAGGAACACCAGUGGCGAAGGCGUCUAUCUGGUUCAAAUCUAACGCUGAUGCGCGAAGGCGUGGGGAGCAAACAGGAUUAGAUACCCUGGUAGUCCACGCUGUCAACGAUGAAUGCUAAAUAUGGGAAG
rnacentral:rRNA from 1 species